GGAGCCAUCCUUGGGAUACCACCCUUGUAGUACUGGGACUCUAACCAUAGGCCAUGAAUCUGGUCUUGGGACACUGUCAGGUGGGCAGUUUGACUGGGGCGGUCGCCUCCCAAAAGGUAACGGAGGCGCUCAAAGGUUCUCUCAGUACGGUCGGAAAUCGUACGUAGGGUGUAAAGGCAAAAGAGAGCUUGAUUGCAAGACAUACAGGUCGAGCAAGGAUGAAAAUCGGACUUAGUGAUCCGGUGGUUCUGCGUGGAAGGGCCAUCGCUCAACGGAUAAAAGCUACCCUGGGGAUAA
rnacentral:rRNA from 1 species